ensembl:snoRNA
UUAGCACUUUUACAGGUCCUCCCCAGGCAGUGGGGCUAGGAUUAGGUAGCUGGUGCCAAGAGAAAACUGUUGAUUAUAUCUUUGCCCUGGACUGUAGUAGUGGCAGUGGUACUCGACGGUACAGAU